AAGUCGUAACAAGGUAUCCGUAGGUGAACCUGCGGAUGGAUCAUUAUCACGUUAUCCACGUAUCAACCAUUGUGAACUGUUUUGUAUUGUUGUUUGUUGGGGGAGUUGUUUAAGAGCAAUCUUUUUCAAUUUUUCCAACUUUCAAUAAUAUAUUUUUAUUAUUAACUAUUUAAACAAUUUUUAAAUAAUUAAUUUUUUGAACUGAAACAUUUCUUACUCUUCGGAGAAGAAAUAAAAAAUUACGAAACAUAAGAACAACUCUUAGCAACGGAUAUCUUGGUUCUC
rnacentral:misc_RNA from 1 species